ACGCUGGCGGCAGGCCUAACACAUGCAAGUCGAGCGGUAGCACGGGAGAGCUUGCUCUCUGGGUGACGAGCGGCGGACGGGUGAGUAAUGUCUGGGAAACUGCCUGAUGGAGGGGGAUAACUACUGGAAACGGUAGCUAAUACCGCAUGACCUCGCAAGAGCAAAGUGGGGGACCUUCGGGCCUCACGCCAUCGGAUGUGCCCAGAUGGGAUUAGCUAGUAGGUGGGGUAAUGGCUCACCUAGGCGACGAUCCCUAGCUGGUCUGAGAGGAUGACCAGCCACACUGGAACUGAGACACGGUCCAGACUCCUACGGGAGGCAGCAGUGGGGAAUAUUGCACAAUGGGCGCAAGCCUGAUGCAGCCAUGCCGCGUGUGUGAAGAAGGCCUUAGGGUUGUAAAGCACUUUCAGCGAGGAGGAAGGCGUUGUAGUUAAUAGCUGCAGCGAUUGACGUUACUCGCAGAAGAAGCACCGGCUAACUCCGUGCCAGCAGCCGCGGUAAUACGGAGGGUGCAAGCGUUAAUCGGAAUUACUGGGCGUAAAGCGCACGCAGGCGGUUUGUUAAGUUGGAUGUGAAAUCCCCGGGCUCAACCUGGGAACUGCAUUCAAAACUGACUGACUAGAGUAUGGUAGAGGGUGGUGGAAUUUCCUGUGUAGCGGUGAAAUGCGUAGAUAUAGGGAGGAACACCAGUGGCGAAGGCGACCACCUGGACUGAUACUGACACUGAGGUGCGAAAGCGUGGGGAGCAAAC
rnacentral:rRNA from 1 species